GCUUACUUUGCCUAGGGACUGCUGUCAACAGAGGGAGUCCAUCCAAGGAAGAGACUGCCAUGAGACGCACCGCUCCCGAAACUGCCCUGACUGACAGUAAAACUAGCUUUUGCUAGAACUCCUGCUUUCUCAGCAGAACUUCCUACUAUGUUGUCAUUCCCAAGAAGAGGCUUUGUUCCUUUUUCUAAUUGCCAUGUUGUACUCCUCAUCCACCAUGGAAGUAGUGUGCAUUGCAAUAGUGAAGCCUGAAGGUGACAACCAUGGACCACCAUGGCCAGAUC